AUUGAACGCUGGCGGCAGGCCUAACACAUGCAAGUCGAAUGGUAACAGGAAACAGCUUGCUGUUUCGCUGACGAGUGGCGGACGGGUGAGUAAUGUCUGGCAAACUGCCUGAUGGAGGGGGAUAACUACUGGAAACGGUAGCUAAUACCGCAUAACGUCGCAAGACCAAAGAGGGGGACCUUCGGGCCUCUUGCCAUCAGAUGUGCCCAGAUGGGAUUAGCUAGUAGGUGGGGUAACGGCUCACCUAGGCGACGAUCCCUAGCUGGUCUGAGAGGAUGACCAGCCACACUGGAACUGAGACACGGUCCAGACUCCUACGGGAGGCAGCAGUGGGGAAUAUUGCACAAUGGGCGCAAGCCUGAUGCAGCCAUGCCGCGUGUAUGAAGAAGGCCUUCGGGUUGUAAAGUACUUUCAGCGGGGAGGAAGGGAGUAAAGUUAAUACCUUUGCUCAUUGACGUUACCCGCAGAAGAAGCACCGGCUAACUCCGUG
rnacentral:rRNA from 1 species